rnacentral:lncRNA from 10 species
AUGCUCAAGAUCGAAUGGCAUCUCUCAGACUGGAAGACCUUUCUGAAGUCAGUUCCAGACAUCCCUGGAAGGCUGGAUAAUUUGGGAAAAGGCUGACUCAAUGUAAGCAAUUACAACUGGAUCAAAAUCAUGGAUCUACAUGCCCAUUUCACCCACUAGACUGUGACGUCAGAGUCGGUGACAUUGCCUUCAACAUCUCCGUAUGCUCAUUACCCAGGGUGGUGCUUUCUACAGAAGGUCCUCAAUCCAUCCUCCUUGAAAUGAAUGGAAACCAACCGGCAUGUGUAAUGAAUGGUUCCAAAAGAGAAUGCUCUAGGAGUGCAGCUUGGGAUGCUAGGAACACACUCCGGUCUGGAGCCCAGCUCACUCCCUGGUUCAUGGUGGAUGUCCAAAAAUAGGCAUGAAAACGAGUGAAGCGAGAAUAUGUACUUCUCAAUUCUCAAGUUAUUAUUGGUGACACCCACCACCUAGUACCAGAUCUCAGGAGGCUGAGAUGGAAAGUUAUGGGAAACUUUGUACCUCUUGCCAGUUGAAUUCAUGACACCCAAUUUUAAAU